CCUAGAACUGCGCAGGCUUCAGCUGAGACUAAGUUCCCUGAAAGAGAAGCAAAACGAGGUUACUGAAUUUUAAGAUUCUACAGUAAACGUGUUGGAAGACAGCAAUGGUGAGUGUCUGUGUUCUUUGUUGUGUUAACACUACUCCAGUGACGGGCCGUGCAUUUGGUACCUGGGGAUUUAGUGUGGACUUACCUGAUUUAAUACACCUCUUAAUACCAUUACUAUCAUGUCGCCAUUUUACAAACCAUCAAUACUAUAAAAAAAA